UACGUAGGGUGCAAGCGUUGUCCGGAAUUAUUGGGCGUAAAGAGCUCGUAGGCGGUCUGUCGCGUCGGCUGUGAAAACCUGGGGCUUAACUCUGGGCGUGCGGUCGAUACGGGCAUCACUAGAGUUCGGCAGGGGAGACUGGAAUUCCUGGUGUAGCGGUGAAAUGCGCAGAUAUCAGGAGGAACACCGGUGGCGAAGGCGGGUCUCUGGGCCGUAACUGACGCUGAGGAGCGAAAGCGUGGGGAGCGAACAGG
rnacentral:rRNA from 1 species